AGUGAACGCUGGCGGUAGGCCUAGCACAUGCAAGUCGAACGGCAGCACAGUAAGAGCUUGCUCUUACGGGUGGCGAGUGGCGGACGGGUGAGGAAUACAUCGGAAUCUACUUUUUCGUGGGGGAUAACGUAGGGAAACUUACGCUAAUACCGCAUACGACCUACGGGUGAAAGCAGGGGAUCUUCGGACCUUGCGCGAUUGAAUGAGCCGAUGUCGGAUUAGCUAGUUGGCGGGGUAAAGGCCCACCAAGGCGACGAUCCGUAGCUGGUCUGAGAGGAUGAUCAGCCACACUGGAACUGAGACACGGUCCAGACUCCUACGGGAGGCAGCAGUGGGGAAUAUUGGACGAUGGGCGCAAGCCUGAUCCAGCCAUACCGCGUGGGUGAAGAAGGCCUUCGGGUUGUAAAGCCCUUUUGUUGGGAAAGAAAAGCAGCAGGUUAAUACCCCGCUGUUCUGACGGUACCCAAAGAAUAAGCACCGGCUAACUUCGUG
rnacentral:rRNA from 1 species